rnacentral:rRNA from 1 species
GUCCACGCCCUAAACGAUGUUUACUUGCUGUUCCCGCCUGCGCGGGAGUGGCGAAGCGAAAGCGGUAAGUAAACCACCUGGGGAGUACGCCGGCAACGGUGAAACUCAAAGGAAUUGACGGGGUCCGCACAAGCGGUGGAGCAUGUGGUUUAAUUCGAUGAUACGCGAGGAACAUUACCUGGGCUAGAAUGUGUGAGGAAUGAGGAUGAAAGUUUUCAGUCAGCAAUGACCUCAUACAAGGUGCUGCAUGGCUGUCGU